UACGUAGGGGGCAAGCGUUGUCCGGAAUCAUUGGGCGUAAAGAGCGUGUAGGCGGCUCGAUAAGUCCGCUGUGAAAGUCCAAGGGCUCAACCCUGGAAGGCCGGUGGUAAACUGUCGGGCUAGAGUCCGGAAGAGGCGAGUGGAAUUCCUGGAUGUAGCGGUGAAAUGACGCAGAUAUCGGGAGGAACACCAGUGGCGAAGGCGGCACUCUGGGCCGGAACUGACGCUGAGGAGCGAAAGCGUGGGGAGCGAACAGG
rnacentral:rRNA from 1 species